UCUCCUACGGGAGGCAGCAGUGAGGAAUAUUGCGCAAUGGCCGAAAGGCUGACGCAGCGACGCCGCGUGAAGGAUGAAGUUCGUUAGAAUGUAAACUUCUUUUGUAGGGGAUGAAUGUGCCGGUCUCCGGCAUUGACUGUACCCUGCGAAUAAGGAUCGGCUAACUACGUGCCAGCAGCCGCGGUAAUACGUAGGAUCCGAGCGUUGUCCGGAAUUACUGGGUGUAAAGGGCGUGUAGGUGGGUCUCUAAGUCGGUGGUGAAAUCUUGCAGCUCAACUGUAAAAUUGCCAUCGAUACUGGAGGUCUUGAGUACGGCAGAGGGAAAUGGAAUUCAUGGUGUAGCGGUGAAAUGUGUAGAUAUCAUGAAGAACACCAGUAGCGAAGGCGGUUUCCUGGUCCGUAACUGACACUGAGGCGCGAAAGCGUGGGGAGCAAACAGGAUUAGAUACCCUGGUAGUCCACGCCUUAAACGAUGAAUACUAGGUGCUGGGCCGUAAGGUUCAGUGCCAAAGCUAACGCAUUAAGUAUUCCACCUGGGGAG
rnacentral:rRNA from 1 species